AGCAAUUGUACCUCAAAUGACCUCUGCUUAGUUGUCAGAAACAGCACAAGCUUUGGCUCUCCCAGACCAAAGAACCCCUCAGUACAUCGUAUUUUUUUUCUGGUGUGAGAAAAAACAGGGCUCUCUCCACAGCCUUAUAAACCUGCAAACAUUCAGGCCACAGGUGAUCCUUGGUUUCUUCCACACUCCCAUCUGACUCUCUUUUUGGAAAAACACAGAGAGGUCCCAGUUACUGAGAGACUUCCAGUUCCAGAAAGAAGGGUCUCAGUCCCUAAUUUCAGGCUGAUUGGAAAGUAGACCCUCAGGCAGCAGCUUUUAAGGUAAGUACGUUCCUGUGGUACCAUAAUUGAACAACUCUGCUGGCCU
rnacentral:lncRNA from 1 species